rnacentral:rRNA from 1 species
ACUCCUACGGGAGGCAGCAGUAGGGAAUUUUGCGCAAUGGACGAAAGUCUGACGCAGCAACUCCGCGUGAGGGAUGAAUGUCUUCGGAUUGUAAACCUCUGUCGAGUGGGAAGAAAAAGCUUAGUGCUAAUAUCAUUAAGCAUUGACGGUACCAUUCGAGGAAGCUCCGGCUAACUACGUGCCAGCAGCCGCGGUAAUACGUAGGGAGCUAGCGUUGUUCGGAAUCACUGGGCGUAAAGAGAGCGUAGGCGGGAAAGUAAGUUAGAAGUGAAAUGUAUCGGCUGAACCGGUAAUCUGCUUUUAAUACUGCUUUUCUUGAGUAUUGGAGAGGUAGAUGGAAUUCCAGGUGUAGCGGUGGAAUGCGUAGAUAUCUGGAAGAACACCAGUUGCGAAGGCGGUCUACUGGCCAAAUACUGACGCUGAGGCUCGAAAGCUAGGGGAGCGAACAGGAUUAGAUACCCUGGUAGUCCUAGCCGUAAACGAUGGACACUAGAUGCUGGGAACGUUUUUGUUUUCAGUGUCGUAGCUAACGCGUUAAGUGUCCCGCCUGGGGAGUACGCUCGCAAGGGUGAAACUCAAAGGAAUUGACGGGGGCCCGCACAAGCGGUGGAGCAUGUGCUUUAAUUCGAUGCAACGCGAAGAACCUUACCUGGUCUUGACAUGGGAGUGAAAGUCACUAGAGAUAGAGACCUUUCCUUUUGGAACACUCUACACAGGUGCUGCAUGGUUGUCGUCAGCUCGUGUCGUGAGAUGUUGGGUUAAGUCCCGCAACGAGCGCAACCCCUAUCCUUAGUUGCCAUCAGGUAAUGCUGGGAACUCUNGGGAGACUGCCUGGNNUAACCAGGAGGAAGGNGGAGAUGANGUCAAAUCCUCAUGGCCCUUACGACCAGGGCUAGACNCGUGCUACAAUGGGG